rnacentral:rRNA from 1 species
ACAGCAGUAGCCGCGGGAAUACGAAGGGUGCAAGCGUUAAUCGGAAUUACUGGGCGUAAAGCGCGCGUAGGUGGUUUGUUAAGUUGGAUGUGAAAGCCCCGGGCUCAACCUGGGAACUGCAUCCAAAACUGGCAAGCUAGAGUACGGUAGAGGGUGGUGGAAUUUCCUGUGUAGCGGUGAAAUGCGUAGAUAUAGGAAGGAACACCAGUGGCGAAGGCGACCACCUGGACUGAUACUGACACUGAGGUGCGAAAGCGUGGGGAGCAAACAGGAUUAGAUACCCGCGUAGUCCCUGUCUCUUAUAC